GACGAACGCUGGCGGCGCGCUUAACACAUGCAAGUCGAACGGAAAGGCCUGCUUUCCCUUGUGGAUUGCGGGUACUCGAGUGGCGAACGGGUGAGUAACACGUGAGUGAUCUGCCCCCAACUUGGGUAUAAGCCUGGGAAACUGGGUCUAAUUCCCGAUAGGACUGCAGGGUGGUGCCUGUGGUGGAAAACGAUUUUCUAGUGGUUGGGGAUGAGCUCGCGGCCUAUCAGCUUGUUGGUGGGGUAAUGGCCUACCAAGGCGGCGACGGGUAGCCGGCCUGAGAGGGUGGACGGCCACAUUGGGACUGAGAUACGGCCCAGACUCCUACGGGAGGCAGCAGUGGGGAAUAGUGCACAAUGGGCGGAAGCCGGAUGCAGCGACGCCGCGUGGGGGAUGACGGCCUUCGGGUUGUAAACUCCUUUCGACCGCGAGGAAGCCACCUGGUUGGAAGGGUGGUGACGGUAGUGGUAGAAGAAGCACCGGCUAACUACGUG
rnacentral:rRNA from 1 species